UAGGACUUAGUAAGGGGUCCAUGGUUUUCCUAAUUGGCAAAGGUGUCCAUGGAACAAAAACGGUUAAGAGCCCUAGAGGUUACACAGGCUGCUGGGUAACAAGGUGGUGAAGGAAACACUUUCUGGAAGAGAGAUGUUGAAGGAUGAGUCGAGUAUGCUGGGUGAAGACAUUGAGAAUGGCCUUGCUGGUAGAGUUUGAACCCUUCUCGGGUCACAUAGGAGAGCAAGCCCAGGGUUUGGCGCCUAUAGCACAGUUUACUCCCCUAAGUUAGAGGGUGGAGUGAGCUGAGAAGGGGCUGGAGGAAGCCUGGGGCUGGGAUCUGAUGCCCAGGGCCUUUGCAGUCAUCCGACUGAAGCUUUGGAAACCACCCUCCAAAAACCAUGUUCUUAUCUGGGUCUGGUCUCUGUUUCCUUCAGUUGAUUCCUUUCUGACAAGUGACUUAUGACUUCCUGUUAAAAGAGAGGCCUAAUCGCUACUCCAGGAAAGAUCUGUGCAAACCAGCUUUUCCCAGCACAAUGCGCCGCCAGAAGCCUGCAGAGAAAGGAAAAUAUUAUCAAUACCGCCACUACCUUGAGGCCUCUUCCAGAAACCAAGCUGGUUCUCAUCUUUUGAGAACAACCUGCUGCAGAACUGAAAUUUGCAGUUGGGGAACAAGCCCACUUAAUGAUCACCAACCCCGGGCUUACAGGCAUGUCUUCGCAGAAGCACAGGUGUCACCAGACUCUACAGAAAAAGACAUCCUUGAGGAAACUCUGCUGUGACAGUGC
rnacentral:lncRNA from 1 species